rnacentral:tRNA from 1 species
GCCCAGAUGGCGGAAUUGGUAGACGCGCUGGUCUCAAACACCUGUGGGGCAACCCGUGCCGGUUCGACUCCGGCUCUGGGCACCA